AAGGGUUUGAUCCUGGCUCAGGAUGAACGCUGGCGGCGUGCCUAAUACAUGCAAGUCGAGCGAACGGACGAGAAGCUUGCUUCUCUGAUGUUAGCGGCGGACGGGUGAGUAACACGUGGAUAACCUACCUAUAAGACUGGGAUAACUUCGGGAAACCGGAGCUAAUACCGGAUAAUAUUUUGAACCGCAUGGUUCAAAAGUGAAAGACGGUCUUGCUGUCACUUAUAGAUGGAUCCGCGCUGCAUUAGCUAGUUGGUAAGGUAACGGCUUACCAAGGCAACGAUGCAUAGCCGACCUGAGAGGGUGAUCGGCCACACUGGAACUGAGACACGGUCCAGACUCCUACGGGAGGCAGCAGUAGGGAAUCUUCCGCAAUGGGCGAAAGCCUGACGGAGCAACGCCGCGUGAGUGAUGAAGGUCUUCGGAUCGUAAAACUCUGUUAUUAGGGAAGAACAUAUGUGUAAGUAACUGUGCACAUCUUGACGGUACCUAAUCAGAAAGCCACGGCUAACUACGUGCCAGCAGCCGCGGUAAUACGUAGGUGGCAAGCGUUAUCCGGAAUUAUUGGGCGUAAAGCGCGCGUAGGCGGUUUUUUAAGUCUGAUGUGAAAGCCCACGGCUCAACCGUGGAGGGUCAUUGGAAACUGGAAAACUUGAGUGCAGAAGAGGAAAGUGGAAUUCCAUGUGUAGCGGUGAAAUGCGCAGAGAUAUGGAGGAACACCAGUGGCGAAGGCGACUUUCUGGUCUGUAACUGACGCUGAUGUGCGAAAGCGUGGGGAUCAAACAGGAUUAG
rnacentral:rRNA from 1 species